GUAGGUGGCAAGCGUUGUCCGGAAUUAUUGGGCGUAAAGCGCGCGCAGGCGGUCCUUUAAGUCUGAUGUGAAAGCCCACGGCUCAACCGUGGAGGGUCAUUGGAAACUGGGGGACUUGAGUACAGAAGAGGAAAGCGGAAUUCCAAGUGUAGCGGUGAAAUGCGUAGAGAUUUGGAGGAACACCAGUGGCGAAGGCGGCUUUCUGGUCUGUAACUGACACUGAGGCGCGAAAGCGUGGGGAGCAAACAGGAUUAGAUACCCUGGUAGUCCACGCCGUAAACGAUGAGUGCUAAGUGUUAGGGGGUUUCCCGCCCCCCUUAGUGCUGCAGCUAACGCAUUAAGCACUCCGCCUGGGGAGUACGGCCGCAAGGCUG
rnacentral:rRNA from 1 species